GAUGUGAAGUGUCCUUGUUUUACUUAUUUACCUUUUCGUUUUUUUUUUUAUUUUCCUCUUAUAUUUCGUAGGUUAACAAGGGGAUUGAGAAGAAUCUGUGGAGUU
rnacentral:ribozyme from 1 species